AACUCACGAGCCAUGCAAUCAUGAGCUGAGCUGAAGUUGGACGCUUAACUCACUGAGCCACCCAGAUGCCCCUGAAAUCAGCCAUUUAAAUAAAGGUAGCAUGGAUGAAUAUAAUCUGGAAUAGUAAGGGUUAAGAGUUUUUUUUUCUUCAAAGCCCCCCAACCUCUAUUGUUGAGAUUUCUGUCAUCAUAGAAGCAUAGAAUGGUAGUGAUUCACUAGUACAAAUUUCUCAUCUAAUAGCUAAGAAAACUGAAGCCCAUAGAGGGUGAAGUACUUGUCCAAGGUCACACAGCUAGAAGGUGGCAGAGUCAAAAAUACAAGUGAGGUCUUCUGAUUCUAAGUCAAGAGAUCUUUUACUAUACCUCAGAGGUCUUCUGGCAAAAAUGGAAAACUUAAAAACAGACAGUAUAUUAAAUACUGUCCUAAGGCUAGAGUCCAGGUAGAAAACUGUAAACAUUCCAUACAUUUGGUCCACUUCUCACAAGUUAAUUCACUAGCACAUGCUUUGUUUUAAUUAUGGCAAAGAAUGCUUGGUCUUAUUCCAGUCUACUCAGUUUCUUUUUCUUCCUAAGCCUUCUGUCUCUGGUCUCUGCCUUGUGCGCCUCCCCCACCCCAACCCCUGACCAUCCCAAGGACUGAUAAGUAGGACUCUGCUGUGUGAAUCACAAACACCUACAACUGAGACAAGCACACAAUCAACUUGCUAGGAGAUCCAUGCCACUUAAGAGGCUGCAGGCAGCUGCCCCCAUCCAGACUUCUUCACGGGAGAAUUCCAGAGGCCACAGAACUUCGCAUUCAUGGGGGAUUCCCCUCUGAACAUCUUGUCAACAGAGCACACACUCCUAAUCUGACAGGAGGAGUGGGUUUUCCUAUCCAGGCAGGUGACAUAGAGAAUGCCAGCCUAUUGACAUGAAGCCAAAGGGCAGUUGGCUCAGAUCAUUCUCUUAUUCAUUGACCUUUGUCAUGAAGCUUUGACCUUCCUCAUGAAUAAUCACUGUGAUGUGAUUCAGUUAACAUUUGCCAACCAAUGAGGCCUUCCCGGUGAUCACAGAAUCAGGAGUCAUCACAGAGGUUGGGUAAUCAGUAUUGUAAUCCCUAUUGUACUCUGCCCAGAGCGUUUUAUCUGCUUGGCCAGACAUCAUGUAGACAAGGUCCAGUCCAGAACACAUCACCUAAGAUAAAUUAUUUACAACUCCGCCUCACUUUAAAAGUGGACCUCAUCCAUGACCUGAUUAAUAUUUCGCUAUAAACCCCGCCUGGAGAUUUUUAAAAAAAGAAGCAGCUUGGUGAAAAUAGGAGAAAACGUGGAAAAGACCAUUAUACAGAACAUAUUCAUUCACACAACUUUUUUCCUUUCUCCUUUUUACAGGUAUUUUAUAGUUAUGCCAGAUAGAGGGAAAUUAUGCAGUUACGGUGCUUAGAAUCUGGGCAAGACAGCAGACAGAACAAUUUCCCAAACUUUCUAUUUGGUACCUAGUCUCUGAAACCAUGGUUAAAAAGAAAAAGCUGUAAAAGAGCUGUGAAUAGUGGUUAAGCACUCUUCCUUUACCUUCAGCAACAUGUAACCAUGAAACACAAUGUACGGUUCUAUCAUUCUCUUGUUCCACUUCCAGAUUAAUCCAAUUCAUUGAAAAUUCUCUUCAACAUGUCCAAGAAUCCCAGUGAACCCCAAGGUGCAUAAACACAAACCACACCAAGGCAUACACAAUCAAAUUUCUGAAAAGCAGGGAUAAAGACAAAAUCUUAAAGAUGAGACUAAUCACUGGUUUGUCAUAAAAAACAAUGCAAACCAGAAGAUAUUGGGAACAUCUUUAUUUUUUAAAGUUUAUUUAUUUAUUUUGAGAAAAAGAUUGCAUGGGAGGAGCAGAGAGCGAGAG